CUGUUUAUCAACACAAAGGAUCAAUUUAGGAAGAUUAUAAAAACUGAAGUUUCUGGAACAAUAAAUGGGAGAAUUAAUCGUUUGAACUGCAUGGGUUCACUUGUACAUGGAUUUUCUUCAGCCUCUGCCACCUCUGAGACAGCAAGGCCAACCCCUCCUCUUCCUCAGCCUAUACAACAUGAAAAUGAUAAGACUUGUAUUAUGAUCCACUUAAUGAAGAUUCUAAAUCAAGGAUGUAUCCCUGAAUCUGGGGAGCUCUCUAUCAAAAUAUACAUGCUGGAACCCUACCAAAGGAAUAAUAAAUCUGGAAUGAGGCUCUGACUGUCUAAUUAGGAAAAGACUCCUUCCUGGAAUUCUGCACAUCUCCCUACACCUUAGUGACGGUUAAAUAAAUAAUUAUUAAGCUUCUGGAUAUUUUUUGUUGUAAGGUUAGGUGUUUCAUGGGUUGGGGGGAGGGGCAGUAACAUUAAAAUAAAAGUCCCAAAUGUAAAGUGCAAAGAAUCUUGAGUCUAUUCUCUAUACCCUACACUUCCUGCCUUUCCCCCACACAAAUCCAACCCUAAAUAUAAUAGGACAAUAUAUAAAUACAUAUUUUUUAAGAGAUAGGGUCUCACCAUCUUGCCCAGGCUGGUCUUAAGCUCAAGCAGUCCUCCCACAUCAACAUCCUGAG